rnacentral:rRNA from 1 species
GCAUAUCAAUAAGCGGAGGAAAAGAAACCAACAGGGAUUGCCUUAGUAACGGCGAGUGAAGCGGCAACAGCUCAAAUUUGAAAUCUGGCCCUUGGGUCCGAAUUGUAAUUUGUAGAGGAUGAUUUUGGUGCGGUAUCUUCCGAGUUCCUUGGAACAGGACGCCUUAGAGGGUGAGAGCCCCGUACGGUUGAAUGCCUAGCCUUUGUAAAUCUCCUUCGACGAGUCGAGUAGUUUGGGAAUGCUGCUCUAAAUGGGAGGUAAAUUUCUUCUAAAGCUAAAUAUUGGCCAGAGACCGAUAGCGCACAAGUAGAGUGAUCGAAAGAUGAAAAGCACUUUGAAAAGAGGGUUAAAUAGCACGUGAAAUUGUUGAAAGGGAAGGAUUUGUGACCAGACUUUUUCUGGGCGGAUCAUCCGGGGUUCUCUCCGGUGCACUUUGCCCAGUAAAGGCCAGCAUCGGUUUUCGGCGGGGGAUAAAAGCAGUAGGAAUGUGGCUCCUUACGGGGAGUGUUAUAGCCUAUUGUAUAAUACCCUGCUGGGGACCGAGGUACGCGCUUCUGCAAGGAUGCUGGCGUAAUGGUUAUCAAUCACCCGUCUUGAAACACGGACCAAGGAGUCGAACAUUUGUGCGAGUGUUUGGGUGUUAAACCCUCACGCGUAAUGAAAGUGAACGGAGGUGAGAGCCCUUUACGGGGUGCAUCAUCGACCGAUCCUGAAGUUUUCGGAUGGAUUUGAGUAAGAGCAUAACUGUUCGGACCCGAAAGAUGGUGAACUAUGCGUGGAUAGGGUGAAGCCAGAGGAAACUCUGGUGGAGGCUCGCAGCGGUUCUGACGUGCAAAUCGAUCGUCAAAUCUGCGCAUGGGGGCGAAAGACUAAUCGAACCAUCUAGUAGCUGGGUUACCGCCGAAG